CCUGCCAACAGGAAUACACUUGUACGCCUCGCUGCUCUUUAGGUAAAUUCAUACAAAUUUUGGAAAGGAAAACACAAGUGUGGUUCUUAAUCAUGGAUUCCAGAUAGUCCUCAGAUUUGUUGGAUCUUCUUGGCACACCUUGCAAUCAUCAACUUCGACGACCAGUCGCUGUUCAGCCAAAUGACAGGAAGCGAGCAUGUUAACAAGCAGUGAACAGUCUCUGAGUGGCCUGCCCAUCACCUGCAUGCUCCCACACACACCGCACACCCUGCAACCAUCAACCUCAAUGACCAGUCGCUGUCCAGCAAAAUGACAGGAAGCGAGAAUGUUAACAAACAGUACAUAAACAAUCAGUACACAGUUGCUGAGUGGCCUCUCCAUCACCUGCAUGCUCCCACUCCACCGUGGAAGUCCCCCUCAUCGUCGGAUCAAGCAAAGUAUUACCAGCUAGCCGACAUAGAGAAACAUAUCCACCAAGAGAUGUACCCAAACUGGUCCUGCACAGACAACUAUGGCAAAAGGAAGAGGAAGCAGGGGACAAAGGUCUCGACAGGAAAAGAAUGUCCAUGUACUUGCCACUGUGGGACACAAUAAAAGAAAAGGCAGACCUGCCAACAGGAAUACGCUUGUAAGCCUCGCUGCUUUCUAGCAUGGAGCUGACGCCAGAGAGGCUACUGGAGAGGAGGUGAAGUGGUACGAGUUACUGAUGCAGCUCCUCCAACCAGUGAUGGAGAUGGAUGUCCUGGACAACUAUCAAAAUCAUUCACCGCCAUCUCUACAAGCAGUACAUGAACCAUCAGUGAACAGUCUCUGAGUGGCCUGUCCAUCACCUGCAUGCUCCUACUCCACCGGCACAGUCACCAAGCUCUGUGGAAACCAAUAUUUACCGCUGACUUAUUGGCCGGAAAAGCAGAGGCUUAUAUCCUGCGCUCAACUCCCUCCUCGUGUAUCGUCGUAGUGGCCAACCCUUGGACGUCCGUCUCCCCGCCAGUCGCAGUGUUGCUCCACUCGCCGACGCCAUCUAAAUCUUCCAUGGCUUGGACUGGCGGCCGUCCCUCUGGUUCCUUGUGGCUGGGGCGCUGUUUUAGUGACCCUCUGCCAGGUCCACCUCCCUUUGUUUUUUGGGGAAUAUCUAGGAUCCGUUCCUUGGGGUAAGGGGGGUGUGUUCCUUUCAUGAUCCCACAUGACAGUUUGGACAAUAUUAUGUUUCCUGUACGUUGUAUUAUUUCCUGCUUUUAUUUUUCGUUCCACUUCCUGUCUGCCUUUGUUUACCAGCCACAUUACUUCUGAAAUGAGCACCUGCCCCUAGUUUGUAAUUAGUAGGCUCACCUGCCGGCAAUCACUAAUCAUUAAGCUUCUUAUGCCUGCCUUGUGCAGAGAACAAUGCUGAUUUAGUUGAUUUUUGUAUGUAAAAAGAAAACAUGUUUUUGUGUGUAUCAUCUAGUAAUAAUGAGUGAGGGUUAAGAGAGGGAACACACAUUACCAUAGGUGGUGGAAAUGCACCUCCCGCCCCACAACAUUGUUGAUUGACAUCUUUGUGAGUUACUGAGGGCCGAGUGGUCGAUUCCCCUGAUUUUAGUUGCAGGCAGUGUGCGUUAAUUCUUUAAUUUUUAUCUAUACGUCUAUGUGUCAGCCUUCCAUCUGAAGUCAGCUGGGAUAGGCUCCAGCUCCCCGUUUUUUCAAAGGAUAACGUAAGACAGGAGGAACUGUUCCACCAUGACUCAAAUGGAAAAAAGAGAAAAAAUAAAAUAUAAGCUCUGUUUAGGUUUUUAGUCAGGCUUCUUUCUUGUCAUCCAUUCUUCUGUACUAUGUAAAAAAGAGAAUUGAUCAAACAUGGAUGGUUAAAGAAUGGCUGUGUGUUGGUAUUGAUGCUUUUAUUUUGCUCCUACUUUGUGGAAAGUUAUAAUGCAUAUCAUUUCAAAGCUUCUUCUAAAAUAAAAUC